rnacentral:circRNA from 1 species
CAUCAAACACUUGGCUUGUUCCAGAAACUAAAGGAGCUAUUGUACAAGGUGGAUAUGGCCAUACUAGUGUGUAUGAUGAAAUAACAAAGUCCAUUUAUGUUCAUGGAGGGUAUAAAGCAUUGCCAGGGAACAAAUAUGGAUUGGUUGAUGAUCUUUAUAAAUAUGAAGUUAACACUAAGACUUGGACUAUUUUGAAAGAAAGUGGGUUUGCCAGAUACCUUCAUUCAGCUGUUCUUAUCAAUGGAGCUAUGCUUAUUUUUGGAGGAAAUACCCAUAAUGACACUUCCUUGAGUAACGGUGCAAAAUGUUUUUCUGCCGAUUUCCUGGCAUAUGACAUAGCUUGUGAUGAAUGGAAAAUACUACCAAAACCAAAUCUUCAUAGAGAUGUCAACAGAUUUGGACACUCUGCAGUAGUCAUUAACGGGUCCAUGUAUAUAUUUGGGGGAUUUUCUAGUGUACUCCUUAAUGAUAUCCUUGUAUACAAGCCUCCAAAUUGCAAGGCUUUCAGAGAUGAAGAACUUUGUAAAAAUGCUGGUCCAGGGAUAAAAUGUGUUUGGAAUAAAAAUCACUGUGAAUCUUGGGAAUCUGGGAAUACUAAUAAUAUUCUUAGAGCAAAGUGCCCUCCUAAAACAGCUGCUUCUGAUGACAGAUGUUACAGAUAUGCAGAUUGUGCCAGCUGUACUGCCAAUACAAAUGGGUGCCAAUGGUGUGAUGACAAGAAAUGCAUUUCGGCAAAUAGUAACUGCAGUAUGUCUGUCAAGAACUACACCAAAUGUCAUGUGAGAAAUGAGCAGAUUUGUAACAAACUUACCAGCUGUAAAAGCUGUUCACUAAACUUGAAUUGCCAGUGGGAUCAGAGACAGCAAGAAUGCCAGGCUUUACCAGCUCAUCUUUGUGGAGAAGGAUGGAGUCAUAUUGGGGAUGCUUGUCUUAGAGUCAAUUCCAGUAGAGAAAACUAUGACAAUGCAAAACUUUAUUGCUAUAAUCUUAGUGGAAAUCUUGCUUCAUUAACAACCUCAAAAGAAGUAGAAUUUGUUCUGGAUGAAAUACAGAAGUAUACACAACAGAAAGUAUCACCUUGGGUAGGCUUGCGCAAGAUCAAUAUAUCCUAUUGGGGAUGGGAAGACAUGUCUCCUUUUACAAACACAACACUACAGUGGCUUCCUGGCGAACCCAAUGAUUCUGGGUUUUGUGCAUAUCUGGAAAGGGCUGCAGUGGCAGGCUUAAAAGCUAAUCCUUGUACAUCUAUGGCAAAUGGCCUUGUCUGUGAAAAACCUGUUGUUAGUCCAAAUCAAAAUGCGAGGCCGUGCAAAAAGCCAUGCUCUCUGAGGACAUCAUGUUCCAACUGUACAAGCAAUGGCAUGGAGUGUAUGUGGUGCAGCAGUACGAAACGAUGUGUUGACUCUAAUGCCUAUAUCAUCUCUUUUCCAUAUGGACAAUGUCUAGAGUGGCAAACUGCCACCUGCUCCCCUCAAAAUUGUUCUGGAUUGAGAACCUGUGGACAGUGUUUGGAACAGCCUGGAUGUGGCUGGUGCAAUGAUCCUAGUAAUACAGGAAGAGGACAUUGCAUUGAAGGUUCUUCACGGGGACCAAUGAAGCUUAUUGGAAUGCACCACAGUGAGAUGGUUCUUGACACCAAUCUUUGCCCCAAAGAAAAGAACUAUGAGUGGUCCUUUAUCCAGUGUCCAGCUUGCCAGUGUAAUGGACAUAGCACUUGCAUCAAUAAUAAUGUGUGCGAACAGUGUAAAAAUCUCACCACAGGAAAGCAGUGUCAAGAUUGUAUGCCAGGUUAUUAUGGAGAUCCAACCAAUGGUGGACAGUGCACAGCUUGUACAUGCAGUGGCCAUGCAAAUAUCUGUCAUCUGCACACAGGAAAAUGUUUCUGCACAACUAAAGGAAUAAAAGGUGACCAAUGCCAAUUAUGUGACUCUGAAAAUCGCUAUGUUGGUAAUCCACUUAGAGGAACAUGUUAUUACAGCCUUUUGAUUGAUUAUCAAUUUACCUUCAGCUUAUUACAGGAAGAUGAUCGCCACCAUACUGCCAUAAACUUUAUAGCAAACCCAGAACAGUCGAACAAAAAUCUGGAUAUAUCAAUUAAUGCAUCAAACAACUUUAAUCUCAACAUUACGUGGUCUGUCGGUUCAACAGCUGGAACAAUAUCUGGGGAAGAGACUUCUAUAGUUUCCAAGAAUAAUAUAAAGGAAUACAGAGAUAGUUUUUCCUAUGAAAAAUUUAACUUUAGAAGCAAUCCUAACAUUACAUUCUAUGUGUACGUCAGCAACUUUUCCUGGCCUAUUAAAAUACAG